UACGUAGGGUGCGAGCGUUGUCCGGAAUUAUUGGGCGUAAAGAGCUCGUAGGCGGUCUGUCGCGUCGGUCGUGAAAACUUGGGGCUUAACCCUGAGCUUGCGGUCGAUACGGGCAUGACUGGAGUUCGGCAGGGGAGACUGGAAUUCCUGGUGUAGCGGUGAAAUGCGCAGAUAUCAGGAGGAACACCGGUGGCGAAGGCGGGUCUCUGGGCCGAAAUUGACGCUGAGGAGCGAAAGCGUGGGGAGCGAACAGG
rnacentral:rRNA from 1 species